rnacentral:lncRNA from 1 species
GAGGGCUGAACUAUCUGUGGAGUAGAAUGUCAGGAGGAGUGGUACAGCCGGGGCAUAUGAUAGAACCAGUAAUGCUUUCUCCACCAAUUUCAGUCUUAACAACAGUGAAUAAUUGGUCCUCUUUCCUCACAUCCUUGCCAGCAUUUGUUUCCAGAUGUUUUCUUGAUCUUAGCCAUCCUGAAUGGGAUAAGAUGAAAUCUCAAAGUAGUCUUAAUUUGCAUUUCCCUAAUAGCUGAGAGUAUUCCAACACUUUUAUAGGUAUUUCAUAGCUAUUUUUCUUUUGAGAACUUUUUUUUUUCACACACACACAGAGCCCCCUUUUUAAUUUGGUUGCUGUUUUUGUUUUAUUUUUGUUUUGUUUUGUUGGUUGGGUUUAGUUUUGUUUGGUGACACAGGGUCUCACUGUGUAGUUCUAGCUGUUCAGGAACUCAUAAAGAUGCCUCUGCCUCCUGAAUGCUGCUUACUUAUUUUCUUAACUUUUUUUUUUGAGUACUUUAUGGUUCUGAAUAUUAAUCCUCAGUCAGAUACAUAGCUGGCACAAUUCUCCUCCACUCUGUGGCCUUCCUCCUUCCUUGGUCCUUCCCUUUGCUCACAGAAGCUCUUUACUUUAUGAGGCCCUGUGUGUCGAUUGCAGGCCUUCAUUUUUAUGUGCUGAUUCCUUCUCUGCCAUGGCCACUCGCUUGCUUCUAAGUACUAUGAAAGCCAGUUCUCGAGCUCCCAAUGUCUUCUAGCAGUCUGAGUGUUUUUUUUUUUUUUUUUUUACAUGUGGACCUUAAGUUUCCCCAUAGGUGCUAAAUAUUCACAUUCAGAAAAUUAACAAAAAGAAGGAAACUUGUAAGUUAAUUGUCCAGAAUUAAGUAUACUUAAUAUAAUCUGAUAGUGGUAAAGAGAAAUUAAACUACUGCAUUGAGUCCAAAUAAUUUAAUAUUACAGUUUAAAUGGAAAGUGCUUUAUUCAGUUUGUUUUUCUGUUCCUUGUAAUAGCGAAUUGUGUUAAAAUGCAAUUUGGAAGCUAGGUGGUGAACACCUGUAGCUGCCACGCUGGCGAGGCUCAGGCAGAAGGACAGGAGAGUCUACUUCAAAAACACCAUAGAAGAAAUGUUUUUUUAAAACACUUAUUUAUUUUAUGUAUGUGAGUACAUUGUUGUUCAGAUCCUAUUACAGAUGGUUGUGAGCCCCCAUGUGGUUGCUGGGAAUUGAACUCAGAACCUCUGGAAGAACAGCCAGUGUUCUUAACUGCUGAGCCAUCUCUCCAGCCCAAAAGAAAGAAAUGUUUUAAAAUUAAUUUGAGAACCCUUUCUGCGUCCCUCUUUUCUGUACUUCUAAUUUUUGCUUAGAUUUCUUAAACAACAAAAAUCCUCUGUUGAUGUGACAAGGUUGCUUGAUCAUUUCACCAAUAAAAAAAUUAACCCUCUAUCAUUUAUUGUGGACUAAGGAAAUUACUAACAACCAAGAACAUUUAAAAUAAUACAUACAUACAUAUUCACAUACUCACUCAAGUCAUCAGGUUUGCACCACAAGCACUUGUGUUUGUUGAGACAUCCUGAGGAUCUUGUUUGUUUUCUGAAACAGGGCCUUGGUAUGUAGUCAGGUUAUCCUUGAGCUUUUGUUCUUCUGCCACUCCUCUGCCUUCCAAAUAACCACUCCAC